AUACAGAGGGUGCGAGCGUUAAUCGGAAUUACUGGGCGUAAAGCGCGCGUAGGCGGCUACUUAAGUCAGAUGUGAAAUCCCCGGGCUCAACCUGGGAACUGCAUCUGAUACUGGGUAGCUAGAGUUUUGGAGAGGGAAGUAGAAUUUCAGGUGUAGCGGUGAAAUGCAUAGAGAUCUGAAGGAAUGCCAGUGGCGAAGGCGACUUCCUGGCCAAAAACUGACGCUGAGGUGCGAAAGCGUGGGUAGCAAACGGGAUUAGAUACCCUAGUAGUCC
rnacentral:rRNA from 1 species